GAGCAGCCAGGAACAAGGUGGGGUGAACCAGACAGAGCUGGAGUGCUCUCCCACCCCUGCUUUGCCCAGCCUCCCCGCCAAGCCCAUGAUUCCAAGCAAGAGACAAGGUCUCAUUCUGUUGCCCAGGCUGGAGUGCAGUGGUGCAAUCACGGUUCACUGCAACCUGGAACUCCAGGGUUCAAGCAAUCCUCCUGCCUCAGCCUGCCGAGUAGCUGUGACAACAGGUGCGAGCCACCAUGCCCAGCUAAGAUUUCACCAUGUUGCCCAGCUGGUCUUGAACUCCUGGCCUCAAGCAAUUCUCCUGCUUUAGGCUCCCAAGUUGCUGGAAUUACAGGGCUGCACGGAGCCUGCUGAGUCUCCAACCCACCUCGCUCACCGCUCUGACCACUGACAGGCAGAGCAAAGGAUGCGGGAGUUGCCUCUGCUGCCCAUCUAAGGGGACGUAGGCAGAGAAGCAAAGGCCUCUGCUCUCCCUCCAUCCAUCCCGGUGUGCUGGCCCCAACGGAACAGGAGUCCUUCAACUAUUGCCUGCCAGAGACCCAAUUGCAGGGACUGUAGUCUGCAUCUGGAUGAGCUGGGCUGUAGAUUGAAGUCUCAGAAGCAGGGAAGGUUGGAAGGGGUAGGGUCCCAGAGCCCAUGGAGUUAUUGCUGAGAAGAUAUGCAGGGGACACAUUCCCCAGGGGCAGAGUAGAAGCCCUGGGCCUGGAAUCCCCGGGCGCUCUGUGAAGGGGCGGGGCAGAUGGGGACUCCUCGUGGAAGCCCCUGGGAAGAAAUUAACCACGGAAGGGCAUAGCCUGCCUGACGUCAACGCUGGGCUCACCAGCUCCUUGCUUUGUAUCUCCAGUUGCUAAGAGACCUUCAGACUGGGAUCAGGUGGGAUAAGGAAGCAAGGUUUUUGUUAAAGGAGUGAAAGGAGUCCAUGAAGAAUGAUGACAAAGUGCUGCAAACCUUCCCAGGUC
ensembl:lncRNA FXYD6-AS1 FXYD6 antisense RNA 1